rnacentral:lncRNA from 1 species
AGGGAGAAUGAGAGAGGGAGGGAGAAUGAGAGAGGGAUGGGAAGAGGGCGGGAGAAGGAGAGAGGGAGGGAGAGAGAGGUUGAGGUAGAGAGAGAAUCUCCAUGUCCCAGCAACACCAAUGGAGACUCUGAUGUAGAAGCUCUACUGGCCAGACUGAGGGCCUUGUAAGAGAUCUAUUUCCAGACACAGAUAACCCAGUCGCACCCAAACACCUCCACACCUGGCUGCCCCCCCCACCCCCAUAUCUGCAGCGACAGGACAGCCCAGAACAGGACAGCCCAGGACAGGACAGCCCAGGACAGGACAGCCCAGGACAGGACAGCCCAGGACAGGACAGCCCAGGACAGGACAGCCCAGGACAGGACAGCCCAGGACAGGACAGCCCAGAAC